GGUAUGGGGUGACUGACAGAAGCAACAAAGUUACAGCAGUAGCUAGGCAAAGGCAGCUUAAGCAGGUCAUGCUGAGUCACUCCAGUAUGGAAGCUACUGAGACAGCAUACAAAACUCCAGCCAGGCUUGGGUUUGCCCUCAAGGCCCAAACCAGGGCCAAAUAGGGCCCAACAUAUGUGCCGAGAGACUCUCUUGUGCACUGUGUAAAAGCAAAACCUGAAAUUACAUGUUUGAGUGUGUUGCCUGCACAUAUGUGUAUUAUCUGUGCAUGCCUGGUACUGAGGAAGACCAGAAGAGGGUGUCCAAGCCCCUGGAUCUGGAGUUACAGACAGUUGUGAGUUACCACUUGUGUGCUGGGAAUCGAACUCAUGUCCUCUGCGAAAAGCUCUUAAUUCACUGAACUAUCUCUCUAGUCUUCAAAGUAAUUGUUAUAAAAGGAGUAGGCUGGGCAUAAUGACAAAUGUUCCUAAUCUCAGGAGGCAGAGAAGAUAUAUCUUUGUGAAUUUAAGGCCAGCCUGUACCACAAACAGACCAUGGGUCAGUCAAGUAAAUGGGAUUUUUUUUAAAAAAAAUUUGUGUAUACAAUUUUGAAGACAUUUUUUGAUUACUUAUGUGUGCAUUUUGAGUGUAUGAGUUAUGUACCUGUAAAUUCAGGUAUCUGUGGAGGUCAGAGGUGUCUAAUCCCUGGGGCUGAACUUACAGGUUGUAGAGAGCCCAGUAUGGGUGCUAGAGACUAAAGCUGGUUCCUCUUCAAAAGUAGUAUAUCCUUGUAGGCUUUUGAUUUUUCUCAACCCUAUUUUUAAUAAUGAUUCAUAAAUGCUUUAACCUCCCUUCUAGCCCACCACCGAUCUGAGCUAGUAGAAAAGAAAGGUUAUUAGGAUAUGGGGAAGUGGAGCUGUUUAGAAAUGGUUCUUUGGAGCAGAUCCCAUCUGCCUUGUCAGGAAGUCAGCAGUUCAGUUCACACAGUUCAGCAGCAGCAGCAGCUCAGUCCGCUUGCAGAUACUUCAAGAACAUACCAGCAGUCCGGUUUAGUAGUGUUGGUAUAGGAAACACGAAUCAGCAGUGUCAGCAUGAUUAGGCCAGGAGAAGUUAUUCGCUGUGCCUCUCUUAAAGAAGUGAACAUCAACGAAAACCCAAGACCAAGAAGCUUUACAGAGCUAGCUAUGCAAACCUGUCACUGUCAAAAAUCACGUGUCCUCCAGGAGUCUUGCCUCAGCAUGCGAGUCUGUAUCAGCUGGCAUCACUCUGCAUCAAUCAGCAGGGGUCCAAGGAAGUGGUCUUUCUGUGACUUAGGUGAGCUCCUGGCUCAACAAACUUGCUUCUGCUUCCUAAGUAGCUAACACUAUGGAUAUGUACCAUUGUACAGCCAGCUCUCAAUUCUUGACUUCUAAGUCACCCAAUGCAUUGAACUCCUGACUACAAGAUUUAUCAUUCAAACAACUAUGUGAAGACCUUGUUUCUCUGGCCUACAUUUGCAUCAAAGAUUCCUAAGUACCGUUUCUCAAAGUCUCAGCUCCGAGGUGGUAAGAAGACUCAUCAGAUGUUCACAGAGUCGUAUUACCAGCUGAAUCAGGUUACCUGGCUUUUUUCUCACAUUGAUGAGUAGUACCUGAAAAUGAAAUGUUUUGGGCAAAUCAGGUUUGGCAGAAACACCAAGUGCCUCAGGCAGGCUGAAGGCCUUGUCAAAAGCUUCUGGAAAGAGGAUACAAGCAAGAAAAGAAUGAAGCUGGUCAUGAUAGCUCUCACCUAAAAUCCCAGCACUAAAGAGGCCAAGGCAAAGGCUUGUCUAUGAUUUUGUGGCCAUCCUGGGCUAUAGGAUGAAAGACCCUGUCUCUCAAAAAGGAAUGCAGAAAAAAAGGAAAAGAUUUAAAACAUUAGUGUGUCCAAGUUUGGAUUUUGUAUAUUGCCAGUCCUAGGCCUCUUGUUUCCAGACCCAGAAUAAUGUUGGGGUAAAUAGUUAUUUUAAAAUCUGCCAUGUUAGGGAAGGCAGGUCAUUGCCAUAACAUUGUUAGACUAGACUCAUGAAAGUUCUUCCUCCCAGGCCCAUGCUCCUAGAAAUAAGACUCAGCCCAGUCUCUAUGAGAAAUUACUCUGAGUUUCAGAGCAGUGCUCUAAAAUUUCUUCGUUCAGAACACUUUAUAACCCUCUAUACUUCAAUAACUACAAUGUCCAUAUUUAACUUAGAUGCCAUUCUUUUGUGGUUUUCUUGUAUGAAGUUCAUUGGAAUAGUAAUCAUCUUCAUUCAGAAUCUAUUGGUGAGUUUUAAUCUUAUCUAACAAACAAACAAACAAACACCAACCCUCAUGGAAACAUGUGAAGUAAUGUUUGACCAAAUAUCAAGGCACUGUCAUGAAAAACAUAAGAACUGAGCAUAAUGCCCUAAACAUAACCUAGCAAAUAGAACUUGGCUUCUCUAUAAAAAGAUGGGUAAUGGGGAUAAUUCAAUUGGUAGUGUACUUGACUAACAUGCAUGAACCCUGGGUAGAUCCUGAGGACUGAAUAAAACCCACCAUGAUCCCAGUCUUGUAGAAAUUACAUAGUUCUUCCUCCAAGGCCCAUGCUCCCAGAAAUAAGACUCAGACUCAAAGUUGACUUACAAAUAACUUGGCCAUAGAGUUAGGCUCCUCUCUACUAGAUCAUAACAGCUGACUUAUUCUAACCGACAUUCUGCCACAUGGCUGGUUACCUGUGCUCAGACACCAUGCUUCUGUCUCCUCACAUUUUCCCAGGCAAAUAUCCUCUCUGGCACUAUCCCAGAAUUCUUUCUACCUACUGGAUGUUCCACCUCCUAUUUCCUGCCUAAGCUAUAGACCAUCAGAAUUACUAUUGACAGGUGUCACAUCCAUAUAGACACAGAUAUUUUCUCUACACACUCCUAUAAUUCCAGGACUUGGGAAAUGGAAGCAGGAGGACCCAAUGCUCAAAGUCAUCUUAGGCUUAGAUGUAGCCAGUAGGACAUCUACAUGAGACUCUGCUUCUGAAAAAUAAACCACAAAAUAUAUAUAUAUAUAUAUAUAUAUAUAUAUAUAUAUAUAUGUACUCACAGCCUCAAAGCCUCAGAUUUCUUGCUUCCUAUAACUCUAGCCUAUGCAUACCUACCUAUUGAGUUUAAGUUUCUCUUCUGUAUGUGAUAUAUGAUGCAGCCCCAAAUUAGCUUGCAACUUCUCAUUCUCAUGCCAAACUCUUACAGUCACGUGAUUCCUCUAGCUGAUGAGAUUUUUUUUCCCCUUCGACUAUCUUCUACCUAUGCUUAAAAGCCAAUUCUUUACCUUUUCAUAUUCUAUUCCCUUAUCAUGUGACCUUGCUGGUAUCAAUUGUCUAUUUACCUAUCACUUCCAAUUCUGUCCACAGACACAUAUAGGACUUGUGAUUUUUUUUUAAUGUACAGUUUAGGGUGGAUUCUCUCCAAUAAAAUGUCCAUACUCAGA